AGUUCCCCAUAGAACAUCUAGUCCAGCACUUGGAAAUGCCCAUGACUUCAGAGGCCAGUAAAGAGGUAGCAAGGAGUCAAGAUUCUCUGCUGAAGAGAAGCAAAAACACCUUUCUGUGGUCAAAUGGUCCCUUGGCUACUCCUUGAAGCUCUUGCAGAAUCAAGAAACAGCUCUGAUGAAAGAUUUGUCAAUGGAGAAAUUGGACUCACCAGGAGAAGAGUCAUUCCUGAGGAAAAUUGUGAAAAUGGAAUGUAAAAAGGAGAGAGAACAAAAAGUCACACUGCAGAUCUACACUGAACAGUUUGCUUUCAUCUUUUGGGAAAUUUAUUUCCAUCUCCCAAAACAGAAAGCUGCAAACAAUGAUUCUCCUGAUGCAACCAUCCCAGUUGGAUCAUGUUAAAAAGCUUUUAGGAGGAAAACAGUAAGUAAAUUCAACUGUUCAGAUGCAUUUGGAUGUAAUCCUAAAGCGGUAGCCCG
rnacentral:lncRNA from 1 species